CAUCUACUUCCUCCGUUCCAUAAUACUUGCAUUCCCUUUAUCAAAAUAUAAAUGUAUUUAGACAUGUUUUAAUAUAUAAGUACAUUCAUUUUUUAAACAAAUGAAAGUCAAGUAUUUUAGAAUGGAGGGAGUACUAG
rnacentral:pre_miRNA from 1 species